AUUGAACGCUGGCGGCAGGCCUAACACAUGCAAGUCGAGCGGAUGAAGGGAGCUUGCUCCUGGAUUCAGCGGCGGACGGGUGAGUAAUGCCUAGGAAUCUGCCUGGUAGUGGGGGAUAACGUCCGGAAACGGGCGCUAAUACCGCAUACGUCCUGAGGGAGAAAGUGGGGGAUCUUCGGACCUCACGCUAUCAGAUGAGCCUAGGUCGGAUUAGCUAGUUGGUGGGGUAAAGGCCUACCAAGGCGACGAUCCGUAACUGGUCUGAGAGGAUGAUCAGUCACACUGGAACUGAGACACGGUCCAGACUCCUACGGGAGGCAGCAGUGGGGAAUAUGGGACAAUGGGCGAAAGCCUGAUCCAGCCAUGCCGCGUGUGUGAAGAAGGUCUUCGGAUUGUAAAGCACUUUAAGUUGGGAGGAAGGGCAGUAAGUUAAGACCUUGCUGUUUUGACGUUACCAACAGAAUAAGCACCGGCUAACUUCGU
rnacentral:rRNA from 1 species